UGGGUAAUCCAAGCCUCGGCAGGUACAGUUCCUCCCUCAGGGCCCAGGACACAGUGAGCAUACAAUAGACAUUAGCUGCUGUGGUGUCUUGAUUUCAAGCCCAGUGCAGAUGCAUCUGACUUACGAAACUUCAGUGACACCUGCUCUGUGCCAGACACUGAAGAUGGAGCAGUGAACAGCACUGACCCAGCCUGUCCUCCUGUUGCCUGCAGGCCAGACGGAGUCUCACUCUGUCACCAGGCUGGAGUACAGUGGUGUGAUCUCGGCUCACUGCAACCUCCGCCUCCCAGGUUCAAGCGAUUCUCCUGCCUCAGCCUCUCAAGUAGCUGAGAUUACAGACGUGUGUCACCAUGCCCUGUUAAUUUUUGUUUGUUUGUUUUGUUUUUUGUUUUGUUUUGUUUCGUUUUUUGUUUUUUUUUUUUGAGACGGAGUCUUGCUCUGUCGCCCAGGCUGGAGUGCAGUGGCCCCGAUCUCGGCUCACCGCAAGCUCCGCCUCGCGGGUUCAUGCCAUUCUCCGCCUGGGCAACAUAGUGAGACUCUGUCUCAAAUAAAUAAAUAAAGUGAGGAGAAAAAAAUACCAUCUCUGUCUUCACAGAACUUAUAGUUUGAGAGGGGAGAAUCCCACAAGUAAAUUAUAAAUCUCAGCUGAGAUUAUGCAAAGAA
rnacentral:lncRNA from 1 species